rnacentral:rRNA from 1 species
GACGAACGCUGGCGGCGUGCCUAACACAUGCAAGUCGAACGAGUCCAGACCUUCGGGUCUGAGGCGAGUGGCGGACGGGUGAGUAACACGUGAGCAAUCUGUCCCUGUGUGGGGGACGAACCCGGGGAAACCCGGGCUAAUACCGCAUGGGCAGGCACUCCGAAAGGAGAGCCUGGGAAAGAGGCCCUCUUUACAAUGGUCUCAUGCAGGGAGGAGCUCGCGGGCUAUCAGCUAGUUGGUAGUGGUAACGGCCUACCAAGGCGACGACGGCUACGGGGUCUGAGAGGACGACCCCGCACAUUGGAACUGAGACACGGUCCAGACUCCUACGGGAGCAGCAGUGGGGAAUUUUGGCAAUGGCCGCAAGGCUGACCCAGCGACGCCGCGUGUGGGA